AUACAGAGGGUGCGAGCGUUAAUCGGAAUUACUGGGCGUAAAGCGCGCGUAGGCGGCUUAUUAAGUCAGAUGUGAAAUCCCCGGGCUCAACCUGGGAACUGCAUCUGAUACUGGUAAGCUAGAGUUUUGGAGAGGGAAGUAGAAUUUCAGGUGUAGCGGUGAAACGCAUAGAGAUCUGAAGGAAUACCAGUGGCGAAGGCGACUUCCUGGCCAAAAUCUGACGCUGAGGUGCGAAAGCGUGGGUAGCAAACGGGAUUAGAAACCCUAGUAGUCC
rnacentral:rRNA from 1 species